ACGGGAGGCAGCAGUGAGGAAUAUUGGUCAAUGGGCGCAAGCCUGAACCAGCCAAGUAGCGUGCAGGAUGACGGCCCUAUGGGUUGUAAACUGCUUUUGUCGGGGAAUAAAGUGACCCACGCGUGGGUUAUUGCAGGUACCCGGUGAAUAAGGACCGGCUAAUUCCGUGCCAGCAGCCGCGGUAAUACGGAAGGUCCGAGCGUUAUCCGGAUUUAUUGGGUUUAAAGGGAGCGUAGGUGGAAGUGUAAGUCAGCCGUCAAAUUGCGCAGCUCAACUGCGUCCAGCGGUUGAAACUGCACUUCUUGAGUGCACAAGAGGAAGGUGGAAUUCGUGGUGUAGCGGUGAAAUGCUUAGAUAUGACGAAGAACUCCGAUUGCGAAGGCAGCUGACUGUAGCGUAACUGACGCUGAAGCUCGAAAGUGCGGGUAUCGAACAGGAUUAGAUACCCUGGUA
rnacentral:rRNA from 1 species